AACUAGAGAAGGCAGGUAUUUAAGGAGAGGGAGGGAUCCUGAGAAGAAAUGCCUGGAUAAUAAUCCUCUAGCUGAGGAAAUGGGGAUUUUAAUAAAACUGUUCUACCUAACUUGUAGUAGAAUGUGCUGCUUGAUAAACUGGAAAAGGUGUUAGGCACGUGGAUUCCAUGUGCCUCUGCUGAAUUACUGUUUUCCAGAAUUUACACAGGAGAAUGACUAAAAAUGGCUGAAUUUCUAAGGCUCUCUUCACUUAAGAUGAUGCCUGUUUCAGACAGCCCUGCAUUCCUGUCAGUGGGCAGUGGAUCCUGUGUGUGCAUUCCAGAAAAGCUACACUUCCAUAAAUGCUCACUAGAGGCCAGAAAUGCCUCAUGGAAGCUCAGAGCCAGGAAAAGAAUGGUGAUCAGAAACGGAAGUAGGAGCCAAGUUACAACAUGAGGGGUGUUUUAACAAGAAAGAAGUCAUAGGAUCAUCAUAGAAUCGUAGAAUGGUUUGGGUUGGAAGGUACCUUAAAGAUGAUCUAGUUGCAAGCCCCCUGCCAUGGGCAGGGGCAUCUUGCACCAGACCAGGUUGCUCAAAGACUUCAAGAAAUCUGGAGAGGGACUUUUUACAAGGGUGUGUAGUGACAGAGUAAGAGGGAAUGGUUUUAAACUGGAAGAGGGGAGAUUUAGAUUAGAUAUUAGGAAAAAAUUCUUUACUGUGAGGGUGGUGAGACAUUGGAACAAGUUGCUCAGAGCAGCUGUGGCUGCCCCAUCCCUGGCUGUGUU